rnacentral:lncRNA from 1 species
AUGACUCAAGUAAAAGCUCACAAGUAAUUUCUUCUGAAACCCAGAUCACUGAAUUACAGGUUUGCCUAUAGAUGUACCAGGUCAAAGGCUGUGCCAGAGAGAAUGAAAUACUAAUUAUUUUCAGGCUGAUAGGUUCAGUUCCUGCAAAGCCUGUAGGUCUUGCUCUACCCUUUGACUGCCUUAAUCAGCUGCCGAGCUUCAUGCCAUUGUUUACAAGGGGAAUUGGGUGAAUAAAUGUAGACAGAUUACAGUAAAUCCACGUUGCCUGCAAAAGUGACUAAGGUGUAUCCUUUACUGAUAAAGUAAGGAUGAAAUGUGGAAACAUAUAAUUAAAUUAUAAAUUACCAAGCUUUUGUGAUAAUUCAUAUGCUUUUAAAUAUUUUGAACCUAAGUGUUACCCUCAAAAUGUUUUAAAAUAUAAAAAUCAAGAAAUAGAGCAAGCAGGAAAUGGGAUUUUAAACAUUUUGAUUUCAAGAAAUAGAACUAUCUUAAAUAUGAUGCUGAAACAAUCUGAGAGGCAGGAGAUAGGACUCAGGCAACAGAGAUCCGAGGAAAUAUAUAUGGGCAUUUUGUGGUUCAUUUUUCUUGUGUGGCAUGUGGUACAACUGAAGCAUAAAUCUUUUUGAUAUCAUCUAGUUUUGCCAGAGGUAUGGGACAGUUCAUAUUCUGUCCAUAAGUUCGGCUACUUACAUAAACUGAAAUACAAGUGCAACUCCAAACAGGUUUUUUCUUUUCUGGACACCAUCAUCAAGCAUGGAAGACUGGAUCUGGAAUUUCCCUUCAUAUCUUGCCAGUUGGCCUCCCAGUUUCUUGCUUAUGUUUUCUCCUGGUGUGUUUUCAACAUUGUAAUUGUUUUCAAUCAACUGUAUAAGUUUUAUUUUCUUCAAAGCAUCUAUUGAUUCCUUUUUUAAAAUCAUGUCUCCUAGCUCCUUUAAAUGUUUGGAAAACGGUAGUUAAGUUUCUUGGUAUCACAGUAGUACUUCUUAUUAUCCAAAGCUGGAAGGAUGCUGCUGCCAGUUAGCUGGGGUAGGUACUGCAACUAAAAAUGCAAAACACAGAAUUAGGUUCAAAACUGUGCCAUGCAUUUUUUUCAUUAUUUAGAAUAUAUCACAAAAGAGGUAAUUAAGCUUUUUAGUAUAGAAGUACUUUUUUUGCACACAAUCCAGGACUUGAGAGAGGAUUAAAUGUUUCAAUUUCGUCUUGGCUUUUCCUUUUAAAUGUUUAUAUUAAAAAGGAAAAACAUUCACAUUAAAGAAGAUUUAGAGAAUAUGAAAAGGGGAAAAUCUACAUGUUAACAUUAUUGGGAAGAAAACAUAGAUUUACAGGAGUUGAGAGCUUGCUGAGAUCUUAGGGAUCAUUUAAGCCAAUGCCUUGUCUUAUAGCGGAGAAAACUGAUAAACAGAGCACCUAGGCAAUUUGCCUACUCACUCUCUUCCCUUAGUUAAAAAGGCAAAUCAAGCAUGGCACAGUGUACACUUGUAGUUCCAGCUACAAGGGAGGCUGAGUGGGAGCAUCCCUUGAGCCCAGGAGAGCAGCCUGGGCAACAUAGCAAGAUCCCCAUCUCUAAAGAAAAAAGACAAACUGCUUCCUUCAAGCUUCCUGAAAAUGUUUGAAUUUAUUGUCAAUGUCAAAUGAAAGAACACACCUGUAUUUUUUGUAUUGCACUAUAUGUCCUUCGGUAUCCCUAAAAAGGGAACUGUUUAGUACUUUUACUUUCUAGAAAAAAAUUUUUCAGCCAUUGUCCUCAGAAAAGUGCUUUUUAGUACUUUUAAAUCAGUUGAUUCUUUCAGGAUUUAAAAGCAGUACACCAGGCCAGGUGCGGUGGCUCAUGCCUGUAAUCCCAGCACUUUGGGAGGCCAAGGCGGAUGGAUCACCUGAGGUCAGGAGUCGAGACCAGCCUGCCAACAUGGCGAAACCCUGUCUCUACUAAAAAUAUAGAAAUUAGUUAGGCAUACUGGCACAUGCCUGUAAUCCCAGCUACUGGGGAGGCUGAGGCAGGAGACUCACUUGAACCUGGGAGGCAGAGGUUGCAGUGAGCCAAGAUCAUACCACUGCACUCUAGCCUGAGCGACAGAGUGAGACUCAGUCUCAAAAAAAAUCAAUACACCAAAUAGUGGAGUUUCCCUAUUUUUUCAAAUAGAAAUAUUUCCAUCAAAACCUUUUGCUCUCGAAUACAAACUAAUACUGAGAUAAGGAAUAAUUCUGGCGUGGGGGUGGAGGAGUCUGUUUCUGGCCUGUUGUGCUACCUGGGUCACAUAUGAUGGAGAAUAAAACAUUAAUUUUGUAACUGUGAUCUAC